CUUUCCUGAUGUUAAUGCCUCAAAAGCCCUUCAUUACCUAUUAUUUAUCUCCCUUUAUCUGAUUCCAGGUCUUUCCCUGUCCUCUCCACUUCUCCAGUGCUGCCUGGCUUCACAAACCAACAUUUCUGUGCCUUCUUCUAUGUUGUCCUUUACACAUGCAAGGAAACAUAAUGAGGAAGGGUUCGUGCCUUCUUUUCUAUUGGAAACGCUAAAUCACUGUGGAUGCUGCUAGAAAUAAGCUGGAUACUGCUGACAAUGUUUGCUCCUGCCCCAGGCCAGAGGCAAUCAACCAAUGCACCCUUUCUUGGACUACCAGGCCGGUCAAAUUACCCAAUUAUCUUUGUGGUAUUUCAGUUCAAUAUCAGUCAGUCUGUAGCUAGUACACAUAAUUGUGUUAGAUCUUGUUUUGACAAACAGCGUCUUUAAACACAGGUUAAGCUGUCAUUUUCUGUAGCCAUUUUUAAAAAAAAUCAGCAGUUAAUGAAACAAGCUGUCAUCAGGCAGCCAUACUACCAAAGUGACAUGAAAACUGAAUGCAUGCACUGUUUGUCUGUAGACUUUCUCAUACAUUUGGACCUAGUGAUAAUUUGUUUUUCUUUCUGCAGUUUAAUAUUGUUUGGUCUAGCUUGAAAUGUGGCAGUCAUGAUGUCAACAUUUGCAAAAAGCUGUACUUUAUAGCAAGCUUUAAUAGACAUCAUUCAAGGUUUGGGCAAGAUUUCUUAUAAGGCAAUCUGCUCCAAAUCUAUCCCAGAUCCUCCAAUGCCCAUUUUGGGUGAGCUAUUUCCAUCUUCUAUAACCAUACAGAUGUGUUCCGUGUAUAGCCAAAUGACAUCAUUGUGAUGAAGUCUGACAUGAAAUGCUUGAAAGUUGUUACAAAUGUCUGUUAAAAGAUUGUGUGCUGUUAAUGUGGAUUUUGAGAUAUUAAAGGAUCAUCUCAGAGAAAUGUAUACAGUAUAGCUUGAGUUCACAAGACAUGAGAAAGUGCAGAAUCAAAUCUGUUUUCAAGCUUCAUGGGGAUAAUUUUCCAUAGACAUGCUGUGGACCAGGUGACUUGUUCUUCUGCUGUAAGGCUACGUCUACACUACAGGAUAAAUUCGAAUUAGCUUAAACCGAUUUUAUAAAACAGAUAUUAUAAAGUCGAUUGUGCGCGUCC
rnacentral:lncRNA from 1 species